rnacentral:rRNA from 1 species
GACAGAGGGUGCAAACGUUGCUCGGAAUCACUGGGCGUAAAGGGCGUGUAGGCGGGUAGGCAAGUCGGGCGUGAAAUCCCUGAGCUCAACUCAGGAACUGCACUCGAAACUGCUUAUCUUGAGUGCCGGAGAGGAAAGCGGAAUACCUGGUGUAGAGGUGAAAAUUCGUAGAUAUCAGGUGGAACACCAGUGGCGAAGGCGGCUUUCUGGACGGUAACUGACGCUGAGACGCGAAAGCGUGGGGAGCAAACAGG